GCAAACUUGGUCAUUUAGAGGAAGUAAAAGUCGUAACAAGGUUUCCGUAGGUGAACCUGCGGAAGGAUCAUUAACAAAUUAUCCAAUCAUAUGGAUGGUUAAAAAUCCAUAUCCACCUUCGUGUGCACAUCAUUGACAAGUUUGCUUUGGCAGCUUUGUUCUUUUGCGGGGGGAAAAGGGAGUGGGGGGAAGGUUUGGCGGGGGGGAAAGAGAGAAAAUAAAAAUCUUCUCCACCCCCCCCCCCUCCUUUCUAACCCCUCUUCCUUCCUUCCUGACGCUGCCAGAGUUUUUUUCUUUUUCACCUUGAGAAACUUUUGCUUCCAGAGGAAAGCAAAGCCUUGAAAACAUCAAAUUUUUUUUGGGAAAACCAAAAAGAAAUCCAAUACAACUUUCAACAACGGAUCUCUUGGCUCUCGCAUCGAUGAAGAACGCAGC
rnacentral:misc_RNA from 1 species